rnacentral:rRNA from 1 species
UACGUAGGCAGCAAGCGUUGUUCGGAAUUACUGGGCGUAAAGAGUGCGUAGGUGGUUGGCCAAGUUUGGUGUGAAAUCUCCCGGCUUAACUGGGAGGGUGCGCCGAAAACUGGCCGGCUAGAGUGUGGGAGAGGGAAGCGGAAUUCCAGGUGUAGCGGUGAAAUGCGUAGAUAUCUGGAGGAACGCCUGCGGUGUAGACGGCUUCCUGGACCAUGACUGACACUGAGGCACGAAAGCGUGGGUAGCAAACAGG